rnacentral:lncRNA from 1 species
CUUCUUAUUGCUGAAAGGCUCUAAAAUUCAGGAUGCCCUGUUCCCUUGUAAAAGGGAAAAUAAUUAAGUCUGAUUUAUGGUAAUCAUACCACAUCACACUUCUAAAAAAAUAUUCAAGUGUGUGACCAGGGGACGUUUGACACCAUUUUAUUAACCUUCAACUUCAGUGGAAAAAUAAAACCUUUUCCAAGUGCCAUUUUCAUCACAGUUUACUUUUAUUGUAUAUUUAUUUUUCUAAACUCUUUGGCACAAUUUU